UCAGUUUCUUACUCCCUUCUUCUCCCUCACGCCACUUUCCCUUUUUCUCCAUGGAAGUCAAGCUUACUUUCCACUUGUCACCACCCUUGUUCAUCUCAAUUUGACUCAUCAAUUCCAUGACACUAAUCAGAAUUUCUAUGCCUUAGUCAUCAAUUCUGAAUUCCUCUUCACAUUUGUCCAUCAAUUAAGCUUCACAUUUGUCAAUCAAUGGAGCUUCAAUUGAUGUUAUCUCCUAUGUCAUCCAACACCAUUCAUCACUAUAAAUAGCCAGCAAAUUGAACCAGAAACCAUCAAGUUGAAUUCACCUUCAACCAAGCUCUAACCACCAUUAAAAACAAUGGAGUUUUCACCAUUUUCAGUACCUUCGAUUCGACUUUUAACCACCACCACCACUACCGCCUUCUGUUCUUGCCGCCACCAUUGACCACCCUCGGCCUCCAUCUUCCGUCCCGCCGCCGCCCUGUCACCAGACCAACCAGCCGCCUCCAGCAACGCCCUGCAACCUCCCCUGCCUCCCUCCUCACUCGAAACCCCUGUCCUCUUCCGGUUCGCACAACCACCAUCAUCGCCGCCCUUGCUCCCUCCCUUCCACCUCGCCGCCACACCACCUAGCCACCAAGUCGCUGUCGCCCCUUUCCCUUCCUUCCUUCCUCCUUGUUUGUGUCUCUGUGCAACCAAUUCCCAAAAUUUGGAAUCAAUUUCCAAAUUAAAUUGUACUGAGUAGUCAGUACUCUUAUUCCUAACAAUAAGGUCAACCCACUUUACUAUUAUUUAUUUUUGGAAAUUGGACUCGGAGCUCAGGAAGAACGGUCCAUCGAACAGGGAAUAUAAACUACGGUUGAGGUAACAUCUAUUGCUAACACCCACAAUCCCCUUAUGAACUGUGUUUUAUGAAUUUAUGAAAUAUGUUUAUAAUGAUAUGUUUUAAUGGAUUGUGGGAUAUGAAUUGUGUUUACAAAGUGUGUUUUAUGCAUGAUGAUAUUCAAAUGUGUUUAUGAAUGAUUUUAUAAGAAUGAUGAGUUACGAAUAAGAUACGAAACAUGAUAAAUAAAAGUGUAACCGGUUCUGGCAGUUAGUGGGGUUACUAUUUCUAGGUCGUGCACGUACCGCUGUACCGCGGAAUACCCAACAAGGGAGAGUGCUCCUUGAGGGUUACCGCAAGCUUUAAAAAAAAAAACGAAUCAGGUACGGGCGUAUGUCCAACAAGGGAGAGUGCUCCUUGAGGACUAUCGCAAGGUGGGAGGCGUCCCGCAAUGCUAACUUGUCAGUUACCAAGUAAAAUGAAGGUUUUAUGAAAGAUAAUGGGAUCUAUUAAAGUUUCAAGUUAUAAGUGAUGUUUUAUUAUAAUGCAUUUAUGAAAGUGUUUUAUUAUAUUCUAUUCUCCCUGAUUGCAAAUUAAAUAAAAUGAAUUGAAAUGAAUUUACGUUGUUAGGGUAGUAUGUUACUGGGCCUCGGCUCACGAUGUUGCUUUUGUUUUAGGUACGAAGAAGAUCAUGGGAUGCCUUAGAGUGAGGAUGCAACCAUCAAAUUCACGAUCGAUAAAGAUAACUAUGUCUCACUAGUAAUAAUGGAUGUAUUAAUUAAACUCUAAGUAUUAAGUUAGAUUUUAAUAUUUAUGUUUAAUCAAUGUUAGGAAUAUUUAUUAAAGUUCAUUUAGAUUUCGGUGUAAAUAUUAAAGAAUUAAUCGAAGUGAAGUAUAAUUACAGUUA